rnacentral:piRNA from 1 species
AAAAUGUGAAACAAUAAAAGGUG